UACGUAGGGUCGAGCGUUCAUCGGAAUUACUGGGCGUAAAGCGUGCGCAGGCGGUUUUGUAAGCCCGAUGGGAAAUCCCCGGGCUUAACCUGGGAAUGGCAUUUGGGACUGCAAGGCUCGAGUGCGGCAGAGGAGACUGGAAUUCCUGGUGUAGCAGUGAAAUGCGUAGAUAUCAGGAGGAACACCGAUGGCGAAGGCAGGUCUCUGGGCUGACACUGACGCUCAUGCACGAAAGCGUGGGGAGCAAACAGG
rnacentral:rRNA from 1 species